rnacentral:tRNA from 1 species
AAGAAAAAUGUCUAAACUUAAGCUGCUAACUUUUAGUUUUAGCGGUUGAACUCCGUUAUUUUCUUU